ACGAACGCUGGCGGCGUGCUUAACACCUGCAAGUCGAACGGUGAAGCGCCUUCCUUUUUGGUGGGUGUGGAUGAGUGGCGAACGGGUGAGUAACACGUGAGUAACCUGCCCCCUUUUUCUGGAUAACCGCAUGAAAGUGUGGCUAAUACGGGAUAUUCUGGGUCUGUCGCAUGAUGGGUCUGGGAAAGAUAUUGUUUCGGUGGGGGAUGGGCUCGCGGCCUAUCAGCUUGUUGGUGGGGUGAUGGCCUACCAAGGCGGUGACGGGUAGCCGGCCUGAGAGGGUGGACGGUCACACUGGGACUGAGACACGGCCCAGACUCCUACGGGAGGCAGCAGUGGGGAAUAUUGCACAAUGGGCGCAAGCCUGAUGCAGCGACGCCGCGUGAGGGAUGGAGGCCUUCGGGUUGUGAACCUCUUUCGCCAGUGAAGCAGGCCUGCCUCGUUUGUGGGUGGGUUGACGGUAGCUGGAUAAGAAGCGCCGGCUAACUACGUG
rnacentral:rRNA from 1 species